AACCUUUCAUCUUCAAGAAUCUGAUGACUGAGUUUUGUAGGAAUGUACCCAACAGUUGGACCAGAGCCUGGCCAGUUCCCACCAAUUGGAGUAAGCUAUUUAAUUGAGGGUUAAGAAGCUCGAUAGUUUUUUCAAUCUGUUAUCAGAAAAAUAUUAUCUAAAGACACUGAUAGCAGCUGACUGGUAAAACUGAAAGUUGGCCUUAGUAAAUGGAACUAGUAAAAAAUAGAUAAAAAUAUGUAAAACCUUUUAUGUCCUGUCAAGGAAAAAAAAAUAAGCAAACUUGAUUUGUUUUAAAAUUGUAAAUAUUCAUUGCAAAACCUAAAUUAUACAAAAUCUAUUUCGAUUUGAAUCUCUUAACAUAUGAAAAGCCACAUCUUAAGUGCAUUAUGCUCUGUAAGGCAUGUUAUUAGCCAGCUUUGCUGAAAAAUGUAUUCUUCUACAGCUCAGAAAGAGGAGUAAAAUUGCUCUAGAAAUUUUUGAUCUCAGCCACUUUGCAUCCAAAGAGGAACCCAACUCCCCACUCACAAUCCCCCACACACAUUUUAAUUAUAAGAGUUCAACAUUUUCCACAGAUAUCAUUAAGCCAAGCAAGGAAACUCCUCUCUGUAAAAACAACAAAAAAGUUGCAAUGUAAAUAGUUAUUUUAGCUAUUUUCUUUGUGAUUAGAGGAUAAGAUUUUGUUAUUUCUUUUGGUACUUAGUCCUUUAACUAUCUGAAAAUGGCUCACUUUGACCUGUUUCUUUGGUCAGCCAAACUGAAGUGAGGGGCCUCUGUUUAUAUAUAGAAUCUUGUAUAUGUAACUUUACUUAUGUGGGACCAAUGGCCAGUAUAUUCUAAUGGACACAAAUCUCCCAAUCCUUAUGUAGGAUUAUCUGUUCACCUUGCCAUGUCCAUCUUGCAAUGAGACCUAACUUGCACCUGCCUGUUUUUCUGCAUGAUUGGACUCCAAAGACUAUUACCAAUGAUGAGAAUUGUCUUGUGUCAGUGUUUAUAAAAUGGACUUAAAGCACACACACAUGCAUACCCACAUUCACAUGCACCCUUACAGUUCUAGAUCAACCCUGGAAGGCAAAACCAUGUACGUCCAGUUUCUUUGCAAGGUCUGAGCAGUGAGAACUAAAUUCAGUCAGUCUAAUGGGUAAAAUGCAACCUCAGUGAUGCUUAAUAAGGAUUUGAAAUCGUUCAAGUCAUUUCUGUGUUCUUUCUCACACCCUUUCCUUUCUAUUUUGUCUUCUUUUAUUUUCAAAAUGUCUGUGGAACAAGAGGAUGAAUCGGGGGAGAACUUCUGCUUCUUUUGACUCUUUUUAGGUAAUAUGGAGUCAAUAUAUUAUGAUUUCUGUUUCUUAUGGAUUAUUAAAAUCAGAGGAAAUCUGCUUCUCUCAACAUAAAACCAAAUCCAAACCCAGACAUUGUUGGAGUUUGCCUGUUGACAAUGGUUAUGAUGCUGCUCGUUGUCUUGAGUUGCAUGUAACGACAGUAGCUCUGAAGGGUGUCAUGAUUUCAUUUUGGCAACUGGUAAAAGAAACUUGUAGUGUGGUCUGAUUGUGCCAGGGAAUAAAUAAGAAAUAAGGAAUGA
rnacentral:lncRNA from 1 species